rnacentral:rRNA from 1 species
UAGAUACCCUGGUAGUCCUAGCUGUAAACGAUGGACACUAGGUGUGGGAGAAUACGUCUUCCGUGCCGCAGCUAACGCAUUAAGUGUCCCGCCUGGGGAGUACGGCCGCAAGGCUAAAACUCAAAGGAAUUGACGGGGACCCGCACAAGCAGCGGAGCAUGUGGUUUAAUUCGAAGCAACGCGAAGAACCUUACCAGGGCUUGACAUGUAGGUGAAGCGGCGGAAACGUCGUGGCCGAAAGGAGCCUACA